GAUGAACGCUGGCGGCGUGCCUAAUACAUGCAAGUCGAGCGAACGGACGAGAAGCUUGCUUCUCUGAUGUUAGCGGCGGACGGGUUAGUAACACGUGGAUAACCUACCUAUAAGACUGGGAUAACUUCGGGAAACCGGAGCUAAUACCGGAUAAUAUUUUGAACCGCAUGGUUCAAAAGUGAAAGACGGUCUUGCUGUCACUUAUAGAUGGAUCCGUGCUGCAUUAGCUAGUUGGUAAGGUAACGGCUUACCAAGGCAACGAUGCAUAGCCGACCUGAGAGGGUGAUCGGCCACACUGGAACUGAGACACGGUCCAGACUCCUACGGGAGGCAGCAGUAGGGAAUCUUCCGCAAUGGGCGAAAGCCUGACGGAGCCACGCCGCGUGAGUGAUGAAGGUCUUCGGAUCGUAAAACUCUGUUAUUAGGAAAGAACAUAUGUGUAAGUAACUGUGCACAUCUUGACGGUACCUAAUCAGAAAGCCACGGCUAACUACGUG
rnacentral:rRNA from 1 species